UACAGAGGUCUCAAGCGUUGUUCGGAUUCAUUGGGCGUAAAGGGUGCGUAGGCGGCGCGGUAAGUCGGGUGUGAAAGUCAAGGGCUCAACCCUUGAAAGCCGGCCGAUACUGUCGGACUAGAGUCCGGAAGAGGCGAGUGGAAUUCCCGGUGUAGCGGUGAAAUGCGCAGAUAUCGGGAGGAACACCAAUGGCGAAGGCAGCUCGCUGGGACUGUACUGACGCUGAGGCGCGAAAGCGUGGGGAGCAAACAGG
rnacentral:rRNA from 1 species